rnacentral:rRNA from 1 species
CAGCCGCCACGGUAAUACAGAGGGUGCGAGCGUUAAUCGGAUUUACUGGGCGUAAAGCGUGCGUAGGCGGCUUUUUAAGUCGGAUGUGAAAUCCCUGAGCUUAACUUAGGAAUUGCAUUCGAUACUGGGAAGCUAGAGUAUGGGAGAGGAUGGUAGAAUUCCAGGUGUAGCGGUGAAAUGCGUAGAGAUCUGGAGGAAUACCGAUGGCGAAGGCAGCCAUCUGGCCUAAUACUGACGCUGAGGUACGAAAGCAUGGGGAGCAAACAGGAUUAGAUACCCGAGUAGUCCCUGUCUCUUAUAA